rnacentral:rRNA from 1 species
CUCCUACGGCAGGCAGCAGUGGGGAAUCUUGCACAAUGGGCGAAAGCCUGAUGCAGCGACGCCGCGUGGGGGAUGAAGCUUUUCGGAAUGUAAACCCCUUUCGACCCGGACGAAUGCCUCGCAAGAGGACUGACGGUACGGGUAUAAGAAGCCCGGCUAACUACGUGCCAGCAGCCGCGGUAAUC